rfam:Rosellinia necatrix DNA, scaffold: Contig25, strain: W97.
GGCACUUUGGCGGAGUGGUUAACGCGCAGGAUUGCUAAUCCUGUUCCUUCGGGAGCCCGAGUUCGAAUCUCGGAGGUGUCG